rnacentral:tRNA from 1 species
GCCUGGCUGGCUCAGUCAGUGGAGCGCGGGACCCUUGAUCUCGGGGUUGUGAGUUCGAGCCCCAUGUUGGGUG